rnacentral:antisense_RNA from 1 species
UUUUUGAUCCGCUCAUUCAAGAGCGGAUUCCGGAAGCUGCUGUGUGAACGAUUCUCGACAGCCUCAGAAAUGUACAUUUUCUUUUUGCUACAUUGAAAAUUUCUUACAGUAUUACCCCGGGCUUAGGAAUUUGUUCGUGUCAUCGCUGAAUCUUCGCGAUCACCCCCAGAAGGAAGUGGCUGAGCCGAGAUCAGGCCCGUCGACUCCAGACCAGGGGUCCUCGACCUAAGUGGUUACCAGACACUCGAGUGUGCGAACAACUUUGCUGGCUCAGGAGGAACGCAGUGAGGACGCUGCUGCCCACUGUGAGAAGAAAGAGGCCAGAAAAGUUGUGAGGCCAGUGCGUGUGCAGAGGCUCAUAGAUGGGCCGUCGGGCCUCAUAGUCCAGUGCCACAGCCUCCAGCUGAGCCAGCGUGCACAGCACCAAGAAGAUGUGGAAAAGUUGGUGGCCCUGCCCGAAGACAUGGCAGCUGCCAGGGAACCAGCGCUCGGGCAUGAAGGUAGAGAAGAAGGCAGCAGCCAGCAGAAAGAAGACCACCUGGCACUUGUGGUAGAGAAGAGCUGGGUCAUCCGUGGCGGGGUCAGAGGACACGAAGAUACGAUGCACCACAGGACUAAUGUCCAGUGCGUAGGCCAGGGCGGAGGGCACCUCCUGGCAUGUGCGGCCCAGCAGGCCUGGUUUCUGGAUGUAUUUGUUAUAGCAGGAGCCAAUGCAGGAAAGCCAGGCAAGAAAGGCAGCCAUGGGCAGAAAAACAGCCUGCACCUGGGCAUGCCAGGCGGGCUCAAUAGCAUAGUAGAAGUGUGCCAAGGCACUGCCAAACUGGUACACGGCCACCCCCACAUAGUCCAGG